rnacentral:rRNA from 1 species
UACAGAGGUCCCGAGCGUUGUUCGGAUUCAUUGGGCGUAAAGGGUGCGUAGGCGGCUUUCUAAGUCCGGUGUGAAAUCCUGGGGCUCAACCCUGGAACUGCAUUGGAUACUGGGAGGCUAGAGUACUGGAGAGGAAACUGGAAUUUACGGUGUAGCAGUGAAAUGCGUAGAGAUCGUAAGGAAGACCAGUGGCGAAGGCGAGUUUCUGGACAGUUACUGACGCUGAGGCACGAAGGCCAGGGGAGCAAACGGG